CCAGAUUCAAGUAAUUAAUGUUUUCACUUUGCUUUGCAAUCUCAUAUUCUUAUACCUUCAAUCCUAAAGCUUACAAUCAGCAGCAAUCAACUCUAAGAAGAUCUAGAACAAUAAAGCCAGAUUUCAAUUAAAAAUACAAAUAACAGAUGCACUAUCAUUUUUCUUGCAAGUUAAUAAAAUGGUCUAUAGGCAUCUUUCAAAAUUGAGCUCAGUAGCAAGUCCUGUAGACUAGCAUACCUACCUGCCAGCAUAAAGAAUCACUUGGAAUAUAUACAUUAAGAAGUGAAACGCAUUCCAGAGAAUUUCUCAAGCUUUCUUUUUGCUUGACACGGUACAUAUUUCAUGGAACCUCAAUGGUUGUUUCAUUCUUCAAACAAACAUCCCCAAAACAUUACCAUAAAUUUUAUUACAUCUUCUCCUCUGCUGGAUUUCUUGAGAUAUACACAUCUGGAAUCGCCCUUGUUUGCAAGUAUCCUGGACAGAGAAUGGGAACCUGAGUAUCACUUGAGAAAUUUGGACCAUGAGGAAAAUCAUGGAUUUGUUGUUGAUUUGAGCUGUAGAUAGAUGAUCUGGUUGCUUUGAGACUUUCCAUUCUAGAACUUGCUAAUGCUGAGACAGGAAAAUCACGUACAUUUAAGUCCAUCUUGUUGAACAUGAGAUUUGCAAUAGCCCUGUCAAUGGUGUUGGUCUCCAAUUCCAUAGUUUUCUUUCCUCCAGGCCU
rnacentral:misc_RNA from 1 species